AACUGAAGUUUAAGUCGCAGGACAAAAACUGGCAGUUGAAAGACGAUUCGCGCGAAAACAGAAGCGAAAACAAAAAAACAGAAAAGAAAGAAAAACCAGCGCAAUCGCGCUGAAGAUUGUCAGGUGGUUGGAGGUUGGAAACAGUUCCAGCCUCCACCAUUUAUUAUUUUCUUAUGAUAUAGUCCGAACUCGCCAGCGAUGGCGAGAGGUCGGCAGAAAUGCCCGGCCCAACUCAAGAACCCGCCAAAAGUGCAAGAGCACAAUUAGGCGGGCAAGUCGGUGCUAAUUUUUGGAAAAAAGGAAAGGCCAUCGUAUUGAACGACAGCCUUUAACAACGGAGCAAAGAAGUUUAGCGAUUACCAAAUACAAUCGCGGCAGCAAAAGAUCCAAUAGCUCCACCAGCGGUUAACGCGAGCAUGCCAGCGUCCGGGCCCCCUAAGCGACUAGCUAAAACAGCUGCUCCGAGCACAAAGAAACAACCUAAAUAGAAAAAUACUUUAUGCAUUUGUUCCACCUCCUUUUUAUAGCUUAUCAUAGAAUUAAAACUUUGUCAAGCAUAAUCUUGACCCCGCAAAAAAGAGCGGGGCAGACUCCAAAAAUUAGCACCGAUUAACCCCCCUAAAUUUCAAAGAAAUUUUUGGAGGGUAAAAAAAAUUCUUGAGAGUAGCAAUGAACUUGGAAAUUUCUAACUUCUAAUUUCUAAUUUCCAACCUCCAUUGUUACGAAGUAACAAAAUGUAGAUACCCUUGUAGUCCACGCCCUAAACGAUGAUAACUAGCUAUUGGAAGUAUCGACCCUUCGAGUGGCAAAGCUAACGCGUUAAGUUAUCCGCCUGGGAAGUACGAUCGCAAGAUUAAAACUCAAAGGAAUAGACGGGGACUCGCACAAGCGGUGGAGCAUGUGGUUCAAUUCGAUGGUAAACGAAAAACCUUACCAGGGCUUGAAAUGGUUUUGACAUUCCAGCGAAAGCUGGACUUCUCACAAGGACAAAAUCACAGGUGCUGCAUGGCUGUCGUCAGUUCGUGGCUUGAGUUGUUCCCUUAAGUGGGGUAACGAACGCAACCCCUAUCGUGUGUUACAAGUGUCACGCGAGACUGCCCCGCUCAGCGGGGAGGAAGGCGGGGAUGACGCCAAGUCAGCAUGGCCCUCUGAUGCCCUGGGCUACACACGUGCUACAAUGCCGGUUACAAUGGGUCGCGAUGCCGUAAGGCGAAGCAAAUCCCAUCAAAAGCCGGCCCAGUUCAGAUUGAGGUCUGCAAUUCGACCUCAUGAAGUCGGAAUCGCUAGUAAUCGCAGGUCAGCUAUACUGCGGUGAAUACGUUCUCGAGUCUUGUACUCAAAAUUAAAAGCGCCCGGCAGCUUAUAUUUCUAGGCCGUUAAAAUCGGUCCCUCCGAUUAAAAUCGGAGCGUAGCAAACGGAUAAGUCCUUGGCCGCGAGGUUGUGGACUGAAGGAUCC
rnacentral:rRNA from 1 species